rnacentral:lncRNA from 1 species
CUCGAUGGAGGUAAUACCCUACUUCCUGCUUGAUUGCUCUUGAUGAUAUGAGUAUUACAAGAGUUGAUCUACCACGAGAUCGAAGAGGCUAAACCCUAGAAGCUAGCCUAUGAUUAUGAUUGUUGUUGUCCUACGGACUAAACCCUCCGGUUUAUAUAGACACCAGAGAGGGCUAGGGUUACACAGAGUCGGUUACAAGGGAGGAUAUCUACAUAUCCGUAUUGCCAAGCUUGCCUUCCACGCAAAGGAGAGUCCCCAUCCGGACACGGGACGAAGUCUUGAGUCUUGUAUCUCCAUAGUCCAACAGUCCGGCUAAAGUAUAUAGUCCAGCUGUCCGAGGACCCCCUAAUCCAGGACUCCCUCAACGGGUCACACCAUGCCGGGUCACAAUUACAAAUUUUAAUUAUUACUUAGCAAUUUUAGGCAAUAUUGUAGAAUAUAAAAGUGAACCUAACAACUACAAAGAUGAUUCUAGUGCUAAGCAACUACAACAAGAGUAAGGUAAGCAUGCACAAUAAGAUGAAAGUAAAGGUAAAGACUAUCCGAGGACCCCCUAAUCCAGGACUCCCUCAACGGGUCACACCAUGCCCGGUCACAAUUACAAAUUUUAAUUAUUACUUAGCAAUUUUAGGCAAUAUUGUAGAAUAUAAAAGUGAACCUAACAACUACAAAGAUGAUUCUAGUGCUAAGCAACUACAACAAGAGUAAGGUAAGCAUGCACAAUAAGAUGAAAGUAAAGGUAAAGACACAAGUAACCACAAGUAGCAAGCUAUGGUUAGGGAUAACCACAACUCUGAGAGACGAGGAUGUAUGUUGAUGUUCACUUACUUGAAGGGAAGCUAGUCACUGUUAGAGAGGUGGAUGUUACCAUGAAGGCACACGAAUGCCACGAAGGCUCACCCCCAUUCUCCCUUUGAGACAACACCAUGAACGCGUUUCUCAACCACUAGUGGUAGACCUUGAGGUGGUCUUCAAACCUUCACAAACUUUCUGGGGGGUAAUCACAAUGCUUGAUUCCUCACCGAAGAACUCCUACUGCCUAGGAGUCUCCAACCUACAAGAGUAAUAAGAUCAAGGGGAAACGCUCAAGACUUGCUCAAAUCACAAAUUCCUUUGGUCAAGAGGAGGGGAAGAAGUGGAUCUAUCACUUGAUUGGAAAAGCUAUGAAGAUCUCUCACAAAUUCCUCCGGGAUCAAAGAUUUGGUGUAUGAGGAUGUGAGAAAGUGUAGAGUGUGUUCUUGCGUUAUCUCAAAGUGAAUUGUCAACCUUCUCCCCAAGUGGAAGAAAGCUAUUUAUAGUCGAAGUACUAAAAUGGCCGUUGGGGUUACUUAACCUAAGAUCUUACCAGACGUCCAGAGGCAAAAAAAGCAUCGGACUUCUGACAGAGCUACCGGCUGUCCGACUGCCAGAACGUGCACACACAAGGGUGAAGUGUAAAGCUUCCACAGAUGGGGUAUUGCCAGACGUCUGGUACUUUCCGGUUGUCCGGUAUCUCGAGAGGCACCGGACGUCUGAUGGUUACCGAAAAUCCGACAAUAAGGUUAUGUUGGGAGACAAUCAGAUUUCCGUACGGAGACAGUCGCCUGUUGGAAGGAGGGACGGAACGUCUGGUUGGGACCGAGCGUCCGACAUUUUGACUUUGCAGGGAUAGACCGGAUGUCCGGCCUAGACCGGAAAUCCAUCAAUUUGUUCUGUGAUGAGACACCAGAUUUCCGGGGGGUACCGGACGUCUAGACGUCCGGUAACUACAAGUCAUCCGUUUGGACCAAAGACAAAGCAGAACGAACCCUAGGAGACAGUAUGAUGGGGAGUUUGGGGUAGUAUUAUGUGUGAAGAAUGAGAUAUCUGUGGGUUUUGGAGCAAGUCAAUCACGAGUACCGAUGAUCCCCUCUUAAUAGUGCAAGAUCCCUAUACCCAAGAGCCAAUGGAAAAGCCUAAGCUCUUUGUCUUGUAUCUUUGUUCUUGAGAAAUAUACACUUGGUAGUCAUGAUCCACACAUCAUUCCUUGGGGACUAAACCUGAGAUAUACUUGACAAACAUGAUUGGUCCCCUAUAUGUAUGUUGUCAUCAACAUCAAAAUAUGAUUAAGAUCAUGAUUUCACUUUUAGCCCCAAACUAUUAUGAGUGCCACGGGUUGAGCGGUGGAUGCUAGGGGCUAUGUGAGAAGAGUGUAUCGACACGCGCGCGUGCGCGCGCGCACACACACACACACCACUCACGCAUGCACACGUGCACACGUACAAAGUAGUAUUAGACCUUAUGAAGUUGAAUACUUUUGCU